GACGGAGGAUGCAAGUGUUAUCCGGAAUCACUGGGCGUAAAGCGUCUGUAGGUGGUCAAAUAAGUCAACUGUUAAAUCUUGAGGCUCAACCUCAAAAUCGCAGUCGAAACUAUUCGACUAGAGUAUAGUAGGGGUAAAGGGAAUUUCCAGUGGAGCGGUGAAAUGCGUAGAGAUUGGAAAGAACACCGAUGGCGAAGGCACUUUACUGGGCUAUUACUAACACUGAGAGACGAAAGCUAGGGUAGCAAGUGGG
rnacentral:rRNA from 1 species